rnacentral:rRNA from 1 species
GGGCCUGCCAUACGGACGCAAACACGUCUCUGGCGCCCAUCACUAUAUCCAUACCAACCCCUGUGCACUGUGAUGACGAAUGUCAUCGAACAAAAAAAACUCGUAUGGUUGAAUGUACGUGAAAUUGUAGGUAUAGCCUACGAACUAUACACAACUUUCGACAACGGAUCUCUUGGUUCUCCCAUCGAUGAAGAACGCAGCGAAACGCGAUAGGUAAUGUGAAUUGCAGAAUUCCGUGAAUCAUCGAAUCUUUGAACGCACCUUGCGCUCCAUGGUAUUCCGUGGAGCAUGCCUGUUUGAGUGCCGCGAAUUCUCCCUCCCCUUACGGUGGCCGAAAGGCCGAAGUAGGGCGGACGGGGUAGGAUGGGUGUUGCUGCCUGGGGAUUGUACCAGGCUCGCCCGAAAUGCAUAAGCGCCAGGACCCUCGCUACCGCUCUCUAGGGAAGAGUGGCUAAGCGACCGCUGAGCAUGGCAUGAUACGUCAUUUGCUGUGUGUGGGCGGCCGGUUGGAGAGGUGUCUGCUUUACCAGCCCUUUUUUAAUUCUGGUCUCAAAUCAGGUAGGAUCACCCGCUGAACUUAAGCAUAUCAA